rnacentral:tmRNA from 1 species
GGGGGCGAAAGGAUUCGACGGGUUUGAGGUCCCUCAGGAAGCGAGCCGAGGUUCCACCCACUCGUAAAAUGAGGUGGAGCAAAAAUAAGUGCCAACGAAGAAUUAGCACUCGCUGCUUGAUAGAAAAAGCAGCCGUCCUUGUUGGGUUUGAUCGGUGCUCGGCAAAGGGCGUCAGAUAACCGAUCUAACGUCCAAAGUUUCGCCUUUCAACUUUGGACGGACACACAAGAAAGGCUAAGGUAAGUGCGACCUGUCCGUGGGUUGCGCUGCCCGACAUACAAACACGGACUGCGCUCGGAGAUGCCUGAGGGUACUCACUCUCGGACGGGGGUUCGAUUCCCCCCGCCUCCACCA